GUUUUACUUUGUCUGUGGGCUUUCUGGUUGCAAGAGGAGCCCAGGGUCCCCCAGGAAGUUCUCCUGUGGAGGCCUUGGGAGUGAGACAAUGCAGACAGGAGGCAGGAGGAGCAAGGGCGUGCAGGUGGAAGGAGUGAGGACAAAGCCACCCAUGCUGCUUGCACGGAGAAGCCUGAUGUGAAGAACUGACUCAUUGGAAAAGGCCCUGAUGCUGGGAAAGAUU
ensembl:lncRNA